rnacentral:rRNA from 1 species
GAUGAACGCUGGCGGCGUGCCUAAUACAUGCAAGUCGAGCGAACGGACGAGAAGCUUGCUUCUCUGAUGUUAGCGGCGGACGGGUGAGUAACACGUGGAUAACCUACCUAUAAGACUGGGAUAACUUCGGGAAACCGGAGCUAAUACCGGAUAAUAUUUUGAACCGCAUGGUUCAAAAGUGAAAGACGGUCUUGCUGUCCCUUAUAGAUGGUUCCGCGCUGCAUUAGCUAGUUGGUAAGGUAACGGCUUACAAAGGCAACGAUGCAUAGCCGACCUGAGAGGGUGAUCGGCCACACUGGAACUGAGACACGGUCCAGACUCCUACGGGAGGCAGCAGUAGGGAAUCUUCCGCAAUGGGCGAAAGCCUGACGGAGCAACGCCGCGUGAGUGAUGAAGGUCUUCGGAUCGUAAAACUCUGUUAUUAGGGAAGAACAUAUGUGUAAGUAACUGUGCACAUCUUGACGGUACCUAAUCAGAAAGCCACGGCUAACUACGUG